rnacentral:rRNA from 1 species
UGGGGAAUAUUGGACAAUGGGCGCAAGCCUGAUCCAGCCAUGCCGCGUGGGUGAAGAAGGCCUUCGGGUUGUAAAGCCCUUUUGUUGGGAAAGAAAUCCUGUCGGCUAAUACCCGGCGGGGAUGACGGUACCCAAAGAAUAAGCACCGGCUAACUUCGUGCCAGCAGCCGCGGGAAUACGAAGGGUGCAAGCGUUACUCGGAAUUACUGGGCGUAAAGCGUGCGUAGUCGGUUCGUUAAGUCUGUCGUGAAAGCCCUGGGCUCAACCGUGGAAUUGCGAUGGAUACUGGCGGGCUAGAGUACAUUAGAGGAAGGUGGAAUUCCGGGUGUAGCGGUGAAAUGCGUAGAGAUCGGGAGGAACACCCGUGGCGAAGGCGGCCAUCUGGACCAGUACUGACGCUGAGGCGCGAAAGCGUGGGGAGCAAACA